rnacentral:rRNA from 1 species
CUUAGGCAAAUCCGGGCACGCAAUUCAAGGGGUCGAGACGAGCGGGUUUAUCCUGCGAAGCAAUCGGAAGUGGUUCCAAGAAAAGCCUCUAAGCUUCAGUCAUACGAGACCGUACCGCAAACCGACACAGGUGGGCGAGAUGAGUAUUCUAAGGCGCUUGAGAGAACUCGGGAGAAGGAACUCGGCAAAUUGGUACCGUAACUUCGGGAAAAGGUACGCCCCGGUAGCUUGAUUGGUUUACUCCAUGAGGGUGAAAGGGUUGCAAUAAACUGGUGGCUGCGACUGUUUAAUAAAAACACAGCACUCUGCAAACACGAAAGUGGACGUAUAGGGUGUGACGCCUGCCCGGUGCUGGAAGAUUAAAUGAUGGGGUGCAAGCUCUUGAUUGAAGUCCCAGUAAACGGCGGCCGUAACAAUAAC